AUUGAACGCUGGCGGCAGGCCUAACACAUGCAAGUCGAGCGAGCGGCGGACGGGUGAGUAAUGUCUGGGAAACUGCCUGAUGGAGGGGGAUAACUACUGGAAACGGUAGCUAAUACCGCAUACCAUCAGAUGUGCCCAGAUGGGAUUAGCUAGUAGGUGGGGUAACGGCUCACCUAGGCGACGAUCCCUAGCGGGUCUGCGAGGAUGACCCGCCACACUGGAACGGAGACACGGUCCAGCCUCCAACGGGGGGCAGCAGUGGGGAAUAUUGCACAAUGGGCGCAAGCCUGAUGCAGCCCUGCGGGGUGUGUGAAGAAGGCCUUCGGGUUGUAAAGCACUUUCAGCGGGGAGGCGUUACCCGCAGAAGAAGCACCGGCUAACUCCGUGCCAGCAGCCGCGGUAAUAC
rnacentral:rRNA from 1 species